rnacentral:tRNA from 9 species
GCCCGGAUGGUGGAAUCGGUAGACACAAGGGAUUUAAAAUCCCUCGGCGUUAGCGCUGUGCGGGUUCAAGUCCCGCUCCGGGUACCA